UUCAUGACUCCUUGCCGUGUAGUCGGCAGACGAGGACGCGGAGACGACGAACCCAAGGACGGUGGUGGCGGUCAUCCUCGGCCCGCCUCGGGGUAACGACAGCGCCGGGAGUCGACGUCUUUUUUCCAAGGGCCUGCCAUAGCUCCCUUCUUCCUGGAGUCACCCGACGGCAGCCGUUGUUUUCUCCAUGGGACUACCUACUCCAGUCUCCAGGCAUCCGCCACCGCGCUCCCACCGUCAUGUUCCGCAUGCGUUCGCCUUCCUCCCUCAGGUUCGUCUCCCCUCUUUUCUCUGUUCUGAUCGAGACGGAGAGAAUCAAAUCAGGAUCUAGAUGGAGAUAAGGACUGAGGCCAUAGGAUCCCUUGCUAAAAUUGAGAGGGAGGGAGGGUAUCCUUGUGCAGGGUAGCACAAACCUCGUUCAGUUGAUUGUUCGUGAGGGAAAACACUGGUGGCUCGAAGGGUGGGCGCUAGCAACGAAGCGACAGUGUUCCAAGUCCAAGGUCGCGAGCUGAUGCAUCCACAGGAUGAUGUCGUUUCCUAUGUCUUGCCAGGCUGCUGUAUUUGAACAUUUGGAUCCCCUAUUUGGAGCAACUUCGGUGUGGAUUACAAAAGAAUUUUGUCCAAAUAAUUCGUUCUUUGAGCAAAGCAACUUCGUUGGGGAUGCCAAAAGAAGUUUCAGUUUUCUUACUAAUUCACCGCGAUUGCUAUGUAAUCUUCUCAAAUCCACGGUCGAAUCGCCUGAAUUUCUUGAGAAGCUUGAAAAAAGUUAUGUGGUGAUUUUGAGAUAUUUUUCUCCUACCCGUUUUAUCGCUCAAAUUUCUGAUUUUAUCUACGUAUGAGUUUUGAUGAAUUUACUCUUCUCUGCCGUGCGUUCUGAGAGCAGAAUUACAUGGUAGUUCUCCAACGCUGCUUGGCAAGAAAAACUUUAUCUGGAGGGUACUAUACUGGCAUAUGCACCAGAUAGAGUCACCUCCGCCAAGUCCGAUGUGCCUGCCAAGAAGACGGGGUUCCAACAUGGCCAACAUGUUGCGAGCAAAAACCUGGGCAUGCCCGACUAUCCUCCUUCACGGUGCCUUGAUUUGUGGCUUCCUAUAAAAUAUAAUUGGGCAUUUUAACAUUUUUCUUCGAUCGUAACCCUGCCCCACCGAUUUUUAUUUCACCCCACCGAUUUUUCACCAGCCCGUGUGAUUGUGUCCGAGACCGAAGAACCGUGCCUCAUCCCCUAACAACAAGGAAAGCACAAGGUCCCCGCCCGCGUGGUCUCCCUGAUCUCUCUUCCGAACCAAUCUCUAGGGUUCGGGCGCCGCCAACCCCACCCACCCUGCCCCUCACGACGCCGACAACGAGAUGUAGAAGGAUGUGAGGUGGUGGCGACGGUCGCAUCGCUCCCUUAGCGGCCGGCGAAUCAGGCAGGAACCCCUCUCUCCCCUAACCUGUUGGGUAUAUUGCUUCAAAUGUGGGUCUUGGAUUGGACCCCUUCGCCCUUCUCAAACUUUCUCAAGCACUCCUUCUCGUAUGGACUGGACCCCUUCUCUCCCAACGCACCCACCCCAUACUCACUGUUUUUUCAGCCGUGGCGGUGGUGGUAGGGUUACAGCCCGACGAGAUGGCGACGACAUGUUGCUUCCUCCGACUGUAGACACGAGAUCGAAGCCUCGGAUGCGACCGGGUGCGAACUGCAACUGUAGCGGAGCUCGGAGGCGACCCGGAGAUGAAUUGCGUAUGUGCGAGCUCGGUGGCAACCACGAGACCUCACUUCGGGCGUUCCUCCACUCUCCACCGGCGGUUGCUCCCCAUAUCGGAUGCUCCCGGGGCGGCGGCGCCCUCCACUACUACCCCUUCAAGCGGUCGUGGCUGCAGGGGUGGCCCUCGGGCGAAGAGCAGCGGCGACACCAACGGUUACCCCUUCCCACAGGCGUCCCACACUCGCGCCACCAGUGCUACACAUUCACAUCUCCUUGUCAUCUAGCACAGUCAAGGGACACGCCAAGCACCUUCAAUCUGUGCUGUCCUUUUCUGCAACCAUUAGUUUCAGGAAUUUUGGUGUCUCUACUACCUAACAAACCAUUCAUUAAAGUGUGUUCAAGGUUCUAGAUUCUUAGAAAAGUCUCUUGUCUAUUAUUCAGUUCUGAUGUUAACCUGAUGCCUUUGUUCAGGGAGAAAGCUUUGGUGAAUGAGUGCUUUAACGUCAUAAUUAUGAAACCCUCAUGCACCCAACAGGUUUGUUACUUCAACCAAGUGAUAGAGGAAGGAAGAAGCAAGUUGCAGGGUUGGUCAUUCACAAACACCCCUGCCUCAAGUACUCACCGUCAAGCAUGGACCAUGCUCGUUGGGAGAUCACGCUCACACCAAUUCACCACGGAGGUCACAUGAGUUUAUCAUCAACCUGCCAGCCUCGCCUUCAUCACCCGGAGUCUUAUGGAAUGUUCAUAGGUGAACCGUCCACCCAAUUAGCUACAAUGCGUCCGACAGCCAAUACCAUGAUAGCAUCGGAGCCAGGGGAGCAUGUGGGAACAUCAAAUGGCAUUUACCCUUUUGAGAUGACGUUUUUACAAUUGAUAAAACCCUACAACACCUCGAGGAACACCGAGUGGUGCUAAAGAUAUUGCCUCCAAUGCAAGCAUUAAACAAGUUAAAUAUCAACAGAGACAAAGCCGUGAUAAGGCAAGGAGAAAUAGCCUAACACCCGAGCAAAGAGCAGAAAUAAAUGCACGUCGAAGAGCAUCUAGACAAAAUAAGACUAUAGAAGAUAGGAAUGCAAGCAAAAGGGCUGCGAGUGAAAAUCUGACAACAAAGAAGAGGCAAGAGAUGAAUGCCUGUAGAAGGGAAGCAAGUAAAAAUAUAUCAGCUGAGCAGAGGCAAGAGAUGAACGCCCGUCGAAGAGCACGCACGCAGAGCAUACCACCAGAUGAGAGGAAGGCAUUGCGGGCUCAACGAAAGGCAUACCUUGCAGCUAAGCGAAAGACCACAUGCGCUGAAUGCAUCGCAAUGCCUUGCCCAGAUGCAUAUCUCUAAUGAAUCACCAUGUUCUAUUACUGAAGUUUGCAUGUGUCCAAUCUAUAUUUGUCAGUCAAUUGUUAAUCAUGCUUUGCGUAAUUCAGUUGUAGAUUGCUAUUCUACCAGUUCUCUAUGAAGGUGAUUAUUAAAUUAAAGUUACACACUUA